rnacentral:rRNA from 1 species
AUGGCCGGAAUUGUCAACAAGGAGUUUGCUGAGUUGGUCUAGACAGGGCUGAACUACCUGCCAUGGUCCUCGGACUGCGAGAUUUUUAGCCAGGGAAAAAGCCUCAUGAGGACGAUCGGUAAGGGGACCCAGCUGGCCCCCAAUGAUCCCAAGUUCAAAACUGAGAAUGCGCAGGCCCUGCAUUUUCUCCGUCAUCACCUGUCACCUACUCUGGAAGACGAGUAUAUGGCUGAGCGGAGUGUUUCUGGCCUUCGGACCGCUCUUCAGCAGCGGUUUGAGCGGCUGAAGUACACUAUGAAGCCAUGUGCAAAAACAGAGUGGAUUCGUCUGAGCCACAAGAUAGAGAAAACCUUAUCCACUUUCCACCCUGACAUGGUCCAGUCCUCAUGGAACUACCGCCAGGGAAACUACAUGAGGUAUUCAGAGUUGAUUGAUGUCCUCCAGGUGGCGGAGGAGCAGGACAAGGUUCUGAAAAAGAACUUUGUCGCGCAACCACUUGGGGAGUUAUCGUCAGGAGGUGAACGCUCUCAAAGUACGCAAGCCUUAACAGAAGAAGAGGAGCCGCAAGGGCAAGAAGAAGGGCCCUCAACCCUCCGCCCCAGGUGUGGCUCGAUGGAGCAUUUCUUUCGCCAGUGUCGCGCACCAUAGGAGGUCGUUGAUGCAUGCAAGGCUCGGAAGGCGUGUGAGACACACCUCGCCUUGGUUCAGGAGGGAGCACCACCGGCGCCCGUUGUCGGUGUCAAAACCGGCGGAUCUCGGGUAGGGGGUCCCGAUCUGUGCGUCUAA